AAAAACCGCCGGAAAGCCCAAGCCCGUUUCCUCCGGUAGCCCAUGGUACGGCCCCGAUCGUGUCAAAUACCUUGGCCCAUUCUCUGGAGAACCCCCAUCCUAUCUUACCGGAGAAUUCCCCGGUGACUACGGUUGGGACACUGCCGGCCUCUCCGCCGACCCCGAAACCUUCGCCAAAAACCGUGAACUCGAAGUAAUCCACUCGAGAUGGGCCAUGCUCGGAGCCUUAGGCUGCGUAUUCCCGGAGCUCCUCUCCCGCAACGGAGUCAAAUUCGGCGAGGCUGUGUGGUUCAAAGCUGGAUCACAAAUCUUCAGCGAAGGUGGGCUCGACU
rnacentral:lncRNA from 1 species